GUUUGUCUUAAUUGACAAGUACCACACAAAGCUGAAAUAAAGGGCUCUGGAUCUCCUGCCAUGUAUUCCAAACAUUAUCCUAUUUGGUGAGUCUAGGUCUGGCUUCCUGGCUUCUUAAAUGGUUUUUAAGUUGGGCCUGCCCUUCAAGAGAUUAUAACUUACUGUUAUAUGUAUUACUGGGUAGUUGUGCUUUUCUUAUGUCUAUUUAAAAAUUUCUUUGAUUUUAUAUGAUUUUUAAUGUUUAAAUCAUCACUUUUGUGACUAAAGUAAAACAUAUGAACUUAUAUAAAAUAUGUUCAUAAACUUUUGAAAAUAUAAUUAAUUGAAAAGCAUGUUUCCCAU
rnacentral:lncRNA from 1 species